rnacentral:rRNA from 1 species
CCUACGGGAGGCAGCAGUGAGGAAUAUUGGUCAAUGGACGAGAGUCUGAACCAGCCAAGUAGCGUGAAGGAUGACUGCCCUAUGGGUUGUAAACUUCUUUUAUAUGGGAAUAAAACGUUCCACGUGUGGGAUUUUGUAUGUACCAUAUGAAUAAGGAUCGACUAACUCCGUGCCAGCAGCCGCGGUAAUACGGAGGAUCCGAGCGUUAUCCGGAUUUAUUGGGUUUAAAGGGAGCGUAGGUGGAUUGUUAAGUCAGUUGUGAAAGUUUGCGGCUCAACCGUAAAAUUGCAGUGGAAACUGGCAGUCUUGAGUACAGUAGAGGUGGGCGGAAUUCGUGGUGUAGCGGUGAAAUGCUUAGAUAUCACGAAGAACUCCGAUUGCGAAGGCAGUUCACUGGACUGCAACUGACACUGAGGCUCGAAAGUGUGGGUAUCAAACAGGAUUAGAUACCCUUGUAGUC